GACGUAGGGUGCAAGCGUUGUCCGGAUUUACUGGGCGUAAAGAGCGCGCAGGCGGUCGUUCAAGUCGAGUGUGAAAGCCCCCGGCUCAACUGGGGAGGGUCAUUCGAUACUGAUCGACUUGAAGGCAGGAGAGGGAAGCGGAAUUCCCGGUGUAGUGGUGAAAUGCGUAGAUAUCGGGAGGAACACCAGUGGCGAAGGCGGCUUCCUGGCCUGUUCUUGACGCUGAGGCGCGAAAGCUAGGGGAGCAAACGGG
rnacentral:rRNA from 1 species